rnacentral:rRNA from 2 species
CACUAUCGUUAACUGAAUACAUAGGUUAACGAGGCGAACCGGGGGAACUGAAACAUCUAAGUACCCCGAGGAAAAGAAAUCAACCGAGAUUCCCCCAGUAGCGGCGAGCGAACGGGGAGCAGCCCAGAGUCUGAAUCAGCUUGUGUGUUAGUGGAACGGUCUGGAAAGUCCGACGGUACAGGGUGAUAGUCCCGUACACCAAAAUGCACAGGCUGUGAACUCGAAGAGUAGGGCGGGACACGUGGUAUCCUGUCUGAAUAUGGGGGGACCAUCCUCCAAGGCUAAAUACUCCUGACUGACCGAUAGUGAACCAGUACCGUGAGGGAAAGGCGAAAAGAACCCCGGCGAGGGGAGUGAAAAAGAACCUGAAACCGUGUACGUACAAGCAGUGGGAGCACCUUCGGGUGUGACUGCGUACCUUUUGUAUAAUGGGUCAGCGACUUAUAUUCUGUAGCAAGGUUAACCGUAUAGGGGAGCCGCAGGGAAACCGAGUCUUAACUGGGCGUUAAGUUGCAGGGUAUAGACCCGAAACCCGGUGAUCUAGCCAUGGGCAGGUUGAAGGUUGGGUAACACUAACUGGAGGACCGAACCGACUAAUGUUGAAAAAUUAGCGGAUGACUUGUGGCUGGGGGUGAAAGGCCAAUCAAACCGGGAGAUAGCUGGUUCUCCCCGAAAGCUAUUUAGGUAGCGCCUCGUGAACUCAUCUUCGGGGGUAGAGCACUGUUUCGGCUAGGGGGUCAUCCCGACUUACCAACCCGAUGCAAACUACGAAUACCGAAGAAUGUUAUCACGGGAGACACACGGCGGGUGCUAACGUCCGUCGUGAAGAGGGAAACAACCCAGACCGCCAGCUAAGGUCCCAAAGUCAUGGUUAAGUGGGAAACGAUGUGGGAAGGCACAGACAGCCAGGAUGUUGGCUUAGAAGCAGCCAUCAUUUAAAGAAAGCGUAAUAGCUCACUGGUCGAGUCGGCCUGCGCGGAAGAUGUAACGGGGCUAAACCAUGCACCGAAGCUGCGGCAGCGACACUAUGUGUUGUUGGGUAGGGGAGCGUUCUGUAAGCCUGCGAAGGUGUGCUGUGAGGCAUGCUGGAGGUAUCAGAAGUGCGAAUGCUGACAUAAGUAACGAUAAAGCGGGUGAAAAGCCCGCUCGCCGGAAGACCAAGGGUUCCUGUCCAACGUUAAUCGGGGCAGGGUGAGUCGACCCCUAAGGCGAGGCCGAAAGGCGUAGUCGAUGGGAAACAGGUUAAUAUUCCUGUACUUGGUGUUACUGCGAAGGGGGGACGGAGAAGGCUAUGUUAGCCGGGCGACGGUUGUCCCGGUUUAAGCAUGUAGGCUGGUUAUCCAGGCAAAUCCGGAUAAUCAAGGCUGAGGUGUGAUGACGAGGCACUACGGUGCUGAAGUAACAAAUGCCCUGCUUCCAGGAAAAGCCUCUAAGCAUCAGGUAACAUCAAAUCGUACCCCAAACCGACACAGGUGGUCAGGUAGAGAAUACCAAGGCGCUUGAGAGAACUCGGGUGAAGGAACUAGGCAAAAUGGUGCCGUAACUUCGGGAGAAGGCACGCUGGUGUGUAGGUGAAGUCCCUGCGGAUGGAGCUGAGACCAGUCGAAGAUACCAGCUGGCUGCAACUGUUUAUUAAAAACACAGCACUGUGCAAACACGAAAGUGGACGUAUACGGUGUGACGCCUGCCCGGUGCCGGAAGGUUAAUUGAUGGGGUUAUCCGUAAGGAGAAGCUCUUGAUCGAAGCCCCGGUAAACGGCGGCCGUAACUAUAACGGUCCUAAGGUAGCGAAAUUCCUUGUCGGGUAAGUUCCGACCUGCACGAAUGGCGUAAUGAUGGCCAGGCUGUCUCCACCCGAGACUCAGUGAAAUUGAACUCGCUGUGAAGAUGCAGUGUACCCGCGGCAAGACGGAAAGACCCCGUGAACCUUUACUAUAGCUUGACACUGAACAUUGAGCCUUGAUGUGUAGGAUAGGUGGGAGGCUUUGAAGCGUGGACGCCAGUCUGCGUGGAGCCAACCUUGAAAUACCACCCUUUAAUGUUUGAUGUUCUAACGUUGGCCCCUGACCGGGGUUGCGGACAGUGUCUGGUGGGUAGUUUGACUGGGGCGGUCUCCUCCCAAAGCGUAACGGAGGAGCACGAAGGUUAGCUAAUCCUGGUCGGACAUCAGGAGGUUAGUGCAAUGGCAUAAGCUAGCUUGACUGCGAGCGUGACGGCGCGAGCAGGUGCGAAAGCAGGUCAUAGUGAUCCGGUGGUUCUGAAUGGAAGGGCCAUCGCUCAACGGAUAAAAGGUACUCCGGGGAUAACAGGCUGAUACCGCCCAAGAGUUCAUAUCGACGGCGGUGUUUGGCACCUCGAUGUCGGCUCAUCACAUCCUGGGGCUGAAGUAGGUCCCAAGGGUAUGGCUGUUCGCCAUUUAAAGUGGUACGCGAGCUGGGUUUAGAACGUCGUGAGACAGUUCGGUCCCUAUCUGCCGUGGGCGCUGGAGAAUUGAGGGGGGCUGCUCCUAGUACGAGAGGACCGGAGUGGACGCAUCACUGGUGUUCGGGUUGUCAUGCCAAUGGCACUGCCCGGUAGCUAAAUGCGGAAGAGAUAAGUGCUGAAAGCAUCUAAGCACGAAACUUGCCCCGAGAUGAGUUCUCCCUGAGACUAUAAGUCUCCUGAAGGAACGUUAAAGACGAUGACGUUGAUAGGCCGGGUGUGUAAGCGCAGCGAUGCGUUGAGCUAACCGGUACUAAUGAACCGUGAGGCUUAACCUU